rnacentral:rRNA from 1 species
CCUACGGGAGGCAGCAGUGGGGAAUAUUGCACAAUGGGGGAAACCCUGAUGCAGCGACGCCGCGUGAGUGAAGAAGUAUUUCGGUAUGUAAAGCUCUAUCAGCAGGGAAGAAGAAAGACGGUACCUGACUAAGAAGCCCUGGCUAACGACGUGCAAGCAGCCGCGGUAAUACGUAGGGGGCAGGCGUUAUCCGGAUUUACUGGGGGUAAGGGGGGCGUAGACGGCUGGGCAAGUCUGAAGUGAAUGCCCAGGGCUCAACCCUGGGACUGCUUUGGAAACUGUGGAGCUAGAGUGCUGGAGAGGUAAGUGGAAUUCCUAGUGUAGCGGUGAAAUGCGUAGAUAUUAGGAGGAACACCAGUGGCGAAGGCGGCUUACUGGACAGUAACUGACGUUGAGGCUCGAAAGCGUGGGGAGCAAACAGGAUUAGAUACCCUAGUAGUC